UACGUAGGGUGCGAGCGUUAAUCGGAAUUACUGGGCGUAAAGGGUGCGCAGGCGGCUCCGCAUGUCGGGCGUGAAAUCCCCGGGCUCAACCUGGGAAUUGCGAUGGAGACUGCAAGGCUUGAAUCUGGCAGAGGGGGGGUAGAAUUCCACGUGUAGCAGUGAAAUGCGUAGAGAUGUGGAGGAACACCGAUGGCGAAGGCAGCCCCCCUGGGUCAAGAUUGACGCUCAUGCACGAAAGCGUGGGGAGCAAACAGG
rnacentral:rRNA from 1 species